rnacentral:rRNA from 1 species
UAUAUGGGACAAUUGGCGAAAGGCAGAUCCAGGUAUGCCGCGCGUGUGAAGAAGGACUUCGGAUUGUAAAUCACUGUAUGUGGGGAGGAAGGGUUGUAGGCUAAUACCCUGCAAUUUUGACGUUAUCAACAGAAUAAGGACCGGCUAACUUCGUGCCAGCAGCUGCGGUAAUACGAAGGGUGCAAGCGUUAAUCGGAAUUACUGGGCGUAAAGCGCGCGUAGGUGGCUCGUUAAGUUGGAAGUGAAAGCCCCGGGCUUAACCUGGGAAUUGCUUUCAAAACUGACGAGCUAGAGUACGGUAGAGGGUAGUGGAAUUUCCUGUGUAGCGGUGAGAUGCGUAGAUAUAGGAAGGAACAUCAGUGGCGAAGGCGACCACCUGGGCUAAUACUGACACUGAGGUGCGAAAGCGUGGGGAGCAAACAGG